UUCUACCUCCGCCUCUCUGUCGAUCUCUCUCCCUCCCUCUCUCUCUCUCUGGGUUCCACCGUGAGAGCCUUAAUUGGUAAACGGGUGAAAGAUCAGAGGAGGUGGGGGUGUCUCUAACUCCGUCUCUCUUUUACUGUCUCUCUCUCUCUUUUUUUUUUUUCACAAGGUGAUGUAAUGACCGCGCCUCCGGGAUUUUCAAGGAGGAUCUGUGCGAAGCCGGGACCUGAUCCGAGGGAAAAGUAGCACGACUUCAACACAUUUUCACCCAACUAACAAUAAAAAAUAAAGUAUUUGCUU